rnacentral:tRNA from 1 species
GGCUCUGUAGCUUAGUUGGUAAAGUACUUAUCUAGCGUAAAAGGGUCGUGAGUUCAAAUCUUACCUGACCUG